rnacentral:lncRNA from 1 species
UUUUCCGAAAAUCCAACACUUAGUAAAUAUAUUCUAGACAAAAGUUUACUAGAACAUUGAAUGAACAAAUAUCCCAACAUGUCAUAUGAUUAAGUUAAAACAUUAACUAUUUUAACAAAUAAUUACCACACGGAACAAUAUAAGUAACGUGACCCAAAAUACUAAACUCUAAGCCAAGGCACGACCCGCUCGUCUAAUAGACAUUAGUACGUUGUAGGUUGUCGUGUAGCGGACAGGGUUUGAGAUUCGAUUCAAGACGCACUACGGUGAGUACAUAGACCCCUCUCUUACUGUUUUCCAAUGUUUUGGGGUGAAACACAUGUGCCUACUUGUUACUUUCAUGCUUUCCUAUUUUCAUGUCAUAUACUUGCUAUAGGAUACCAUGCCGAAAUUUUUCCGAAAAUCCAACACUUAGUAAAUAUAUUCUAGACAAAAGUUUACUA